rnacentral:lncRNA from 1 species
AAAGCCAGAUGGAAUAGUUCCUGAAUGAAAUUUUAUUCCUGUUCGCAAUUAUUUCGAAGGGGGAUACCCUCUGGAUCAGAAUUAAAAUGCUCUGGUUUCAAGGAAAUAGCCUGCAGAUUGCCAGAUCCUCCUUUGGACUCUUGAGAAAUCUCUCUGCCUCUAACACGGCUCUGCCUGUGCUGACCUUAUUCACAAAGGUCAUUCAGCUGAAAUCACUUAUCCUUGUGGAUGUAAGCUUGGAGUUGUAUUCUACUUCACUGAUCUCUUCUGCACAGCAACGUUUAACCUCAUGUCUCCCACGUGGCAGAAAGAAUAUGUGGUCAGCGAGACCUUCACCUCUAUUUCAUGAUGAAGCUGGAUGGAAGUCCUCUAUGAGUGUGGAAGCCAUUAACAGAGUAAUUGCUGUCUGUUGCCAUGACAACCAGUCGCUGCAGUCACCUGCCCGAAGUCUUGCCAGACUGCACCAGCUCAGCUGCGCCUGUGGUGAAGACGGUGGAGGACUGUGGCAGCCUAGUGAAUGGGCAGCCACAGUAUGUCAUGCAAGUUUCAGCCAAGGACGGGCAGCUGCUGUCAACAGUAGUGCGGACUCUUGCCACCCAGAGCCCCUUCAAUGACCGGCCAAUGUGCAGAAUCUGCCAUGAGGGCAGCAGCCAAGAGGACUUACUCUCUCCAUGUGAAUGUACUGGGACCUUGGGGACAAUCCAUCGGAGCUGCCUGGAGCACUGGCUGUCAUCCUCAAAUACCAGCUACUGUGAACUCUGCCACUUCAGGUUUGCAGUG